UACGGAGGGUGCAAGCGUUAUCCGGAAUCACUGGGUUUAAAGGGUGCGUAGGCGGCCCGAUAAGUCAGUCGUGAAAUCGCUGGGCUUAACCCAUGCAACUGCGAUUGAUACUGUCGGGCUUGAAUCAGGUUGAGGCAGGCGGAAUGUGACAUGUAGCGGUGAAAUGCAUAGAUAUGUCAUAGAACACCGAUUGCGAAGGCAGCUUGCUGGACCUUGAUUGACGCUGAGGCACGAAAGCGUGGGGAGCAAACAGG
rnacentral:rRNA from 1 species